CAUUACCGAGUUUACAACUCCCAAACCCCUGUGAACAUACCUAUUUGUUGCCUCGGCGGUGCCUGUUCCGACAGCCCGCCAGAGGACCCCAAACCCUGAUUACAUUUAAGAAGUCUUCUGAGUAAACCGAUUAAAUAAAUCAAAACUUUCAACAACGGAUCUCUUGGUUCUGGCAUCGAUGAAGAACGCAGCGAAAUGCGAUAAGUAAUGUGAAUUGCAGAAUUCAGUGAAUCAUCGAAUCUUUGAACGCACAUUGCGCCCGCUAGUAUUCUGGCGGGCAUGCCUGUCCGAGCGUCAUUUCAACCCUCAAGCCCCCGGGCUUGGUGUUGGGGAUCGGCGAGCCUCCGCGCCCGCCGUCCCCUAAAUCUAGUGGCGGUCUCGCUGUAGCUUCCUCUGCGUAGUAGCACACCUCGCACUGGGAAACAGCGCGGCCACGCCGUUAAACCCCCAACUUCUGAACGUUUGACCUCGGAUCAGGUAGGAAUACCCGCUGAACUUAAGCAUAUCAAUA
rnacentral:rRNA from 1 species